rnacentral:lncRNA from 1 species
CGGCGGUUCUCACGCUUGACUGCAUCCGAGUGGCCAGGAGGACUUGUUAAAACACACCGUGGGGCCCAUGUCGAGUGUCUGAUUCACUAGGUCUGGGGUGGGGCCCGAGGAUUUGCUGCUGCUGCUGCUGCUGCUGGUCUGGGGGUCAUACCUUGAGAACCACUGGGUUAGACCACGGUCUAAGGUUUAGAACAAGGUCUGGAAUGUCCAAGGAACCGAGAUAUGAAACUUUGUCUAAAAACUGGGCAAGGGGAGAAGGUAUCAGAAGACCCUAGUUGAAAACAUGGUGGAGAGAGCUUCCAAGAUUAACACCCCCUUACCUUAGGUGAACAUUUUUACCUGCUAUCUGCAUGCUUCCCUUCUUGGAGGAAGGAGGAACUUGACCCAUCUGGUUCUAGAAAAUUCUGAGACUAGAAGAUGAUUGGUCUGUAACCUCAAUUACUUGCUACUAACAAGAUAGAGCCACAAAUGCCCUACUAUACAUGCCUGGGGCUUCAUAACAUCUUCUGGUGACUUCUUUUCCCUCUCCAGGCAGUGCUGGCCUUUUAUUUUAACCUGAUUUUACAUGCAUGCAAUGACUAGGAAAAGAUAGAGCUUUGUGACCACCAAAAGCUCAUGUUCCCCUCUGGAGCUGUUGCUAAGAAAUGGUUACCCGGCCGGGGAAUACGUUCUACAGCCCCACCUCCGGAUGUGGCCCUGGAACCAGUCCUCAUCAGUGAAAUAUGACUGGAAGUGAUCUGCAGCACCUCCAGGCUGGGGUUUUGAAGAAGUGUAUGAGCCGCAUCUGUGGUCUUUCUCCUUUGGCUGGCUGUCUGCAAAGGACUCUGGGAUUCUGGCACAGCGGAGCCACGAGGUAGAAGAAGCCUGAGUUCUGGCAAUACUCACUUGCUGACCAGGAACACCUACAAAGGACUGUUAUGUGUCAACACACUUAAAUUUGGAGAGUUGUUUGUUAUAGUAGCCGGUGUUAUGUCACUUGAACUAACAGAGGGGCUGCUCACCCUGAGACUUGCCCUUCUGGACUGUUCUACCCUCUUCCUCCUCCCCCACCCGAGUCUCUUCUCUUCCAUUGGGAUUAUUCUUUUCUGCCGCCUCCGCUGUUUGCAGACCCGCCGGCUGUGUGACGAGCUUCCUCCACACCCUCCCUGGAUCCUGCAAUGAAUAAACUCUAGCUGUGGAAAGAACAGCAAACACAGGUGCCCCGGCAGGUGACCAUCAGAGGACACACUGCUGUUCACAGAUCCACAGAACCGAACACGAGCGCGUUAGCAUGCGGCCUUACUGUACACAUGGGACACCGGGGAACCGCUUCAGACACUGCAGGUAGGAAACAGAAUGGGCCAACGCCGCCCGUCGAGAGGCCCACGGAUCACUCAGCAGUGCCGCGGGCGGUCUUUACUGAGAGCAGCAUCACCAUCACUCUGGCAGUCUGUGAGCAACUCUGAAACGCAAGUCUAGUGAGAGGUACGACAAGCAAGCGAGCGAGAGAUACCCUGUCCCGUCGGAGGGAGGCUGAUUCAGGGCCUGCACUGGCACGUUUCUCGGCGGCAAAGCAGCCGUUUUAACAGCCUGGGUUUCCCUUACCACAUUUGUUGGCCAUCAGCAAAAGUAAGAAUUUCCGACACAUGAGCUGAAUAAGCCUAGGAUUAAAAAGCAGAACACGGUCCACGUAACAGAGCUGCUGCUACUUUGCGACUUCUGCCCAGUUCUCACCUGCUGUCCUGCAAAAUCCCCCCAUCUGAUGAAUUUUAGCAAAGCUUCUAGCAACUGUAACAGACCUUUCCUAACCCAGCUCUAGAUGCUAAGUAUCAGAAACAAGUGCCCGUGAAGUGGAUGUGUCCAUGGGAGAAUGGCAGUGUUUCUACUGGAGGUAAGUGUCAAGUUUCCUCUUGAGGUUGUCAAAGGAAUCUGCUCCCAUGUAAUCAGCCUGGCCCUGUUCCCACCGCUCCUUCCGUUCUUCUGAGGACAGAAGGCUGUGCCGCAGCCGGGGUCUCCCCAACGGACAGAUGCGAUAUGUCCAACAGACACCUUUACAAAUGGAAAGGCAUGGGAUGGUGUUAGUGGGACAUGAAAAUUAGCUGUUCUGUUGGUAAGUUAAGGUGUAUUGAUCCCUCUUUUGCCUCCCCCUGUGACCC